GAUGAACGCUGGCGGCGUGCCUAAUACAUGCAAGUCGAGCGAACGGACGAGAAGCUUGCUUCACUGAUGUUAGCGGCGGACGGGUGAGUAACACGUGGAUACCCUACCUAUAAGACUGGGAUAACUGCGGGAAACCGGAGCUAAUACCGGAUCAUAUUUUGAACCGCAUGGUUCAAAAGUGAAAGACGGUCUUGCUGUCACUUAUAGAUGGAUCCGCGCUGCAUUAGCUAGUUGGUAAGGUAACGGCUUACCAAGGCAACGAUGCAUAGCCGACCUGAGAGGGUGAUCGGCCACACGGGAACUGAGACACGGUCCAGACUCCUACGGGAGGCAGCAGUAGGGAAUCUUCCGCAAUGGGCGAAAGCCUGACGGAGCAACGCCGCGUGAGGGAUGAAGGUCUUCGGAUCGUAAAACUCUGUUAUUAGGGAAGAACAUAUGUGUAAGUAACUGUGCACAUCUUGACGGUACCUAAUCAGAAAGCCACGGCUAACUACGUG
rnacentral:rRNA from 1 species